GAACUUAGCAGAGAUGCUUUGGUGCCUUCGGGAACUCUGAGACAGGUGCUGCAUGGCUGUCGUCAGCUCGUGUUGUGAAAUGUUGGGUUAAGUCCCGCAACGAGCGCAACCCUUAUCCUUUGUUGCCAGCGGUCCGGCCGGGAACUCAAAGGAGACUGCCAGUGAUAAACUGGAGGAAGGUGGGGAUGACGUCAAGUCAUCAUGGCCCUUACGAGUAGGGCUACACACGUGCUACAAUGGCGCAUACAAAGAGAAGCGACCUCGCGAGAGCAAGCGGACCUCAUAAAGUGCGUCGUAGUCCGGAUUGGAGUCUGCAACUCGACUCCAUGAAGUCGGAAUCGCUAGUAAUCGUAGAUCAGAAUGCUACGGUGAAUACGUUCCCGGGCCUUGUACACACCGCCCGUCACACCAUGGGAGUGGGUUGCAAAAGAAGUAGGUAGCUUAACCUUCGGGAGGGCGCUUACCACUUUGUGAUUCAUGACUGGGGUGAAGUCGUAACAAGGUAAGCGUACGUGU
rnacentral:rRNA from 1 species